rnacentral:rRNA from 1 species
UUAGUGGCGGACGGGUGAGUAACGCGUAAGAAUCUACCUAUAGGUUCGGGACAACAGUUAGAAAUGACUGCUAAUACCGGAUAUGCCCUCGGGUGAAAGUUUUAAUGCCUGUAGAUGAGCUUGCGUUCGAUUAGCUAGAUGGUGGGGUAAAGGCCUACCAUGGCGACGAUCGAUAACUGGUCUGAGAGGAUGACCAGUCACACUGGGACUGAGACACGGCCCAG